AAUGGAAUUGCUGGGUGAUAUGAUAAGUAUGUUUAACUUUUUAAGAAACUACCAAACUUUUUUUUAAAGUGGCUGUACCAUUUUACACUCCUACCAGUUAU
rnacentral:pre_miRNA from 1 species